rnacentral:misc_RNA from 1 species
UUGCAGAGUACUUCUUAAGCCGGGUAUUUCACUGGAACCCUAGUUAUCUCGUUCUGAAAAAUUAUGUUAAUCAUAUAAGCUUGAUAUUUGCAUUGUGCCAGGUCCUUAUUUUAGCAAGGCCUGAGGACCAAAGAAAGCCAAAAUUUUUCUUGUUUUCUAAAUUAUGUCCAAACUUUAAUUUUUGCAAUUUUAGCCCAAUUCAAAAUGAUGAUUGCAGUUAUGUUAAAUGAUUAAAAUUGAUUAAAAAAAAUAAUAUUUUAUUACUAAUUAUGAUAAACAAUUUGUUUCCCUCUAUUUACUCUUCCAUUCCUCCUCCCUUUUCCUUUCUCUUGUCCCUACUAAAUCCCUUCUCUCUCUCCCUUUGAGUCCUUGUUUUUCAUUGGAAAAUCAUGCAAUUCUGAAGGGGGAAAAAAGACAAGAAAAAGAAAGAAAAACUGAAGUUUCUGCAAUAUCAGACUUCCUCUCUACCUCUACCCUUGGCCUCCUCUUGCCAGGACAGACCCCAGAAACAUUUUCAGAACAUUGCCGGACACCCACAAUCGUAGAUGCUCAGUUGCUAUUGCCGCCCUCAAACUAAACCAGUUGAAACCCACAUUCAAAGGCUUACAAAUGCAAAAGGAAGUUGUUUGCUGCUAAUCACCGAUGUCAGCUACCACACUGCUGUUGCUGCCAAUGAAAUCAGUUGGUGACACUAAUGACGCCACCACACUCAUCUUGCUUUGAUGUUUCCCUUUAUGCCGUCUAUACUCUAAAAUGCAAUGUCAUUUGGUCUGAUCAAAGCAUCAAAGCUUCAGCUCUUCAACUUUUAGAUCCGUUGUUCUCUCUGUUUUUAGCAAAAUCAACGUGUAGGAGUUAUGCUUGGGGCUUCAUUGAAAUGCUCCCUGAGUCUUGCCAGCAUUGGGUUUGCCUAGAAUUGACGAAGGGAGUUUGUGUUUCUAUCUCUUCCUCUUUAUUUUGUUCUCUCUUCUUUUCUGUCUCAGUGUUAGUGCCUUGCUUCCUUUGAACCUCUAGCUGCCUGCAUUUGGUGAGAAAAAGGGAGAAUGAGAGGGGGCACGAACAGAGGGAGAGAGAAGAGGAAGGGUAGGGAUGAUAGAAAGGGUGGAAGGGGAAAGAGGAAAGAGAAAGGAAAUAUAAAAAUCAUUAAACAUUUCUUCUUAUUAGUACUAAAGAUUAAUUUCUAAUUCAAUUUUGACUACUUGGAUGUGAUUGCAACUACUUUUAAAUGGAGCUAAAAUCACCAAAAGGAAAAGGUUUGGAUGUUUUUGAAGAAACCAGAAAAGGUUCGACCUUUUUUCAGUCAUUUAGCUUUUAACAAAACUUUUCUGCUUCCAAUUUUUCUAUUUUGCAUUAUCUAGUGUUGCACCCCCCGGCCCGCCGCCGCCCCCCCCUAAAGGUAGCUUGUCUAAUUGUCUGAACCUAUGCAAUUCAAUAUACUGAAUGGCUAUAUGAUGUGGUCUUGCUUUUUUCAGGCGGUUGAGGUCUCCA